rfam:Ovis aries breed Texel chromosome 11, whole genome shotgun sequence.
AUCCCUUAGGGAGUCUUGUUAAAGUGCAGAUUUUGAUUCAGUAAGUGGGCCUGAGAUUCUUCAUUUCUAACAAGCUCCUAGGUGAUGCAGA